rnacentral:rRNA from 1 species
GGCUCCUACGGGGCGCAGCAGUGAGGAAUAUUGGUCAAUGGUCGGGAGACUGAACCAGCCAAGCCGCGUGAGGGAGGAAGGUACAGAGUAUCGUAAACUUCUUUAGUCAGGGAACAAAGGGAGCCACGCGUGGCGCUGUGAGUGUACCUGAAGAAUAAGCAUCGGCUAACUCCGUGCCAGCAGCCGCGGUAAUACGGAGGAUGCGAGCGUUAUCCGGAUUUAUUGGGUUUAAAGGGUGCGUAGGCGGUUUGUCAAGUCAGCGGUAAAAAUUCCGGGCUCAACCCGGUCCCGCCGUUGAAACUGGG